CACGUAGGGGGCAAGCGUUGUCCGGAUUUAUUGGGCGUAAAGAGCUCGUAGGCGGUUCGGUAAGUCGGGUGUGAAACCUCCAGGCUCAACCUGGAGACGCCACCCGAUACUGCUGUGACUAGAGUCCGGUAGGGGAGCGUGGAAUUCCUGGUGUAGCGGUGAAAUGCGCAGAUAAUCAGGAGGAACACCAGCGGCGAAGGCGGCGCUCUGGGCCGGAACUGACGCUGAGGAGCGAAAGCGUGGGGAGCAAACAGG
rnacentral:rRNA from 1 species